GCAGUCGAACGCGUCCCGGUUGAUGAAGUUGAGUGCUUGCACUUGAUUGAUUCAACUUGGUGACGAGUGGCGAACUGGUGAGUAACACGUGGGUAACCUGCCCCGAAGCGGGGGAUAACAUUUGGAAACAGGUGCUAAUACCGCAUAACAACCAAAACCACCUGGUUUUGGUUUGAAAGACGGCUUCGGCUGUCACUUUGGGAUGGACCCGCGGCGUAUUAGCUAGUUGGUGAGGUAACGGCUCACCAAGGCGAUGAUACGUAGCCGACCUGAGAGGGUAAUCGGCCACAUUGGGACUGAGACACGGCCCAAACUCCUACGGGAGGCAGCAGUAGGGAAUCUUCCACAAUGGACGCAAGUCUGAUGGAGCAACGCCGCGUGAGUGAUGAAGGGUUUCGGCUCGUAAAACUCUGUUGUUGGAGAAGAACGGGUGUCAGAGUAACUGUUGACAUCGUGACGGUAUCCAACCAGAAAGCCACGGCUAACUACGUGCCAGCAGCCGCGGUAAUACGUAGGUGGCAAGCGUUGUCCGGAUUUAUUGGGCGUAAAGCGAGCGCAGGCGGUUUUUUAGGUCUGAUGUGAAAGCCUUCGGCUUAACCGGAGAAGUGCAUCGGAAACCGGGAGACUUGAGUGCAGAAGAGGACAGUGGAACUCCAUGUGUAGCGGUGAAAUGCGUAGAUAUAUGGAAGAACACCAGUGGCGAAGGCGGCUGUCUGGUCUGCAACUGACGCUGAGGCUCGAAAGCAUGGGUAGCGAACAGGAUU
rnacentral:rRNA from 1 species